rnacentral:rRNA from 1 species
AUACGGAGGAUGCGAGCGUUAUCCGGAAUCAUUGGGUUUAAAGGGUCCGUAGGCGGCCUUAUAAGUCAGUGGUGAAAUCUCCUAGCUCAACUAGGAAACUGCCAUUGAUACUGUAGGGCUUGAAUUAUUGGGAAGUAACUAGAAUAUGUAGUGUAGCGGUGAAAUGCUUAGAUAUUACAUGGAAUACCAAUUGCGAAGGCAGGUUACUAUCAAUAUAUUGACGCUGAUGGACGAAAGCGUGGGGAGCGAACAGGAUUGGAUACCCUGGUAGUCCACGCCGUAAACGAUGGAUACUAGCUGUUCGGAGCAAUCUGAGUGGCUAAGCGAAAGUGAUAAGUAUCCCACCUGGGGAGUACGCACGCAAGUGUGAA